GUGCUAGUAGGGACUCUGAAUUUGGACUUUUGAGUGACACUAGAUCUUUUAAAACAUUGGCUGCUCUUGGAGUUGGACUAGAUGCAUUUUCUAAGCUGUGUACUGACUGAGGGUAUCCACACAUACACACAGCACAGCAGCUGCAGCUGAGUUCUAUGUGGACCUCUGUGUAAGCAGUCCUGAGCAAGGAGGACAGAGGCCCUUACUGAAGGGUAGAAUCAACUGGAAAGUGAAUCUCAACUGAGGAAAUGUCGUCAUCGGAUUGGUGUACAGACAUGCUGUGGGGCAUUUUAAUUGUCGAUAUGGAGGCUCCAGCUCACUUUGAACAGCGAUAUCCCAGCAAGAUGGUCCCGGGUGUUAGGUCUGAAAGAUGAGGUCUGUCUGGGACUGGUGUCUGCCAAGGCAUUGAUCCACAGCAUCCCCUGAGAGUCUGACCUUCACCUGGCUGCUGAGUUCACCAGAGCGCAGUCAGUCGUGUGAUCGUCCUUGAGGACAAAGAGGCACCUUGUGAUUAAAAAUCACACAGACCCUGAGAUGGAGUGGAUCAGCCUAACAACCUUGAAGUCUCCUACGAUUUUUCACCGAGGAAAUAAUGAACACACACAUCAUGAAGAAUUACGCAGCGAGGAGAGCAACACCCUCACUUUAAGAAGUCUAGACUCAGAAAUAUGAAUGUCUUUGUUCCCAAAUAUGCCAGCUGGGAGCUGUGCUCAUCAAUCACUUCAGAAAUGGUUUCUUCCAAAUAAACGACCUCUCAUACUA
ensembl:antisense 1700100L14Rik RIKEN cDNA 1700100L14 gene